AUUGAACGCUGGCGGCAUGCCUUACACAUGCAAGUCGAACGGCAGCACGGGUGCUUGCACCUGGUGGCGAGUGGCGAACGGGUGAGUAAUACAUCGGAACAUGUCCUGUAGUGGGGGAUAGCCCGGCGAAAGCCGGAUUAAUACCGCAUACGAUCUACGGAUGAAAGCGGGGGACCUGCGGGCCUCGCGCUAUAGGGUUGGCCGAUGGCUGAUUAGCUAGUUGGUGGGGUAAAGGCCUACCAAGGCGACGAUCAGUAGAUGGUCUGAGAGGACGACCAGCCACACUGGGACUGAGACACGGCCCAGACUCCUACGGGAGGCAGCAGUGGGGAAUUUUGGACAAUGGGCGAAAGCCUGAUCCAGCAAUGCCGCGUGUGUGAAGAAGGCCUUCGGGUUGUAAAGCACUUUUGUUCGGAAAGAAAUCCUUGGCUCUAAUACCGUCGGGGGAUGACGGUACCGGAAGAAUAAGCACCGGCUAACUACGUG
rnacentral:rRNA from 1 species